rnacentral:misc_RNA from 1 species
GGAAGUAAAGUCGUAACAAGGUUUCCGUAGGUGAACCUGCGGAAGGAUCAUUAUCGUACAAAAUGUGAGGGGCAUGCGAGGGCUGUCGCUGACCCAAAAGUCGUGCACGCCCGAGUGUGUCCUCUUGCAUAAUAAUCCAUCUCACCCUUUGUGCAUCACCGCGUGGGCACCCUUCGGGAUCAUCUCGGAGGGGGGCUCGCGUUUUCACACAAACCCCCCUUUUAAAAGUGUAGAAUGGCCACAUUUAUGCAAUCAAUACAACUUUCAACAACGGAUCUCUUGGCUCUC